AAAAGCAACCAGUUAAAUUCACUUCAUGACAAACGCGAACCGGAGACAGGUGCCCGGCUUCCACGGACGUUUCGUCGAAUCUCCGGGCAUCCUGCUUUGAGCCUUAUUGGCACAGUUUUAAUUAGCUUCGUUAGCAUGCCACCUCCCCGGCCCUCCGGGUUCAGAGCGGCGCGACCCGCGGGGACCCGAGUCCCGCUGCGCCCGGCAGCACCCGCGGCUCCGCCGACUGCUGGCCCUGGCCCAGACCUACGCCGCGACGGAGUUUACUGUCAAUAUAUCUCCUGCAUCUCCUGGGUUUCAGCAAAAACAAGCCACAUCACGAGAAGUAGGAAGAAAACCCGAACGAAGCGUUUUUAUUAACGAAUACCCUGCCAUAAGGGAAAAUAAUUUUCCCUAUUUCACCCGAGCUGCCACCAAACCUGUACUGAAACAUCUGAGGGGAGACAAAAACAAAUCGGGGAUCCAAAAUCAAAGCAUAAAGAACACGGAUCUGAAUUAUAAACCCUGCAGAAGUAACUUCACCGCUUCAUAAUGAAGCCGCUAACACUUCUCUCCUCUCUAAGAUUUUAUAUUUAACUGCUCAACGCGACUUGACAGCAAUCCCCCCCCAAUAUUGGGGGAUUUGGUGAUGUAAAAAUGCAUGCUUUUAGGUGGGGUGAGUGGGUGGACCAGCCUAGAGCAUUAGAAGAUGAUCGGACAGAAGCAAAUGACAGCGCAUCCCACGAGUCCAUGCCAGAAAGCCAGCGAGGAGACCUGAGUCAACGUCCCCACUUGGAGCUUUGGAUCGUAGACUACCCACAUGCAGAAAAAUACUCCAUGAAACUUGCGGAGUACUUUCCAUAUGUGUUUUCUUCCACUCACCCCCCUGCUCCUGCCUUCUACAGCGAAACAAAGCUGAGUGAGCACUGACAAGGAGCUUGAGGAAUAAAACCCCGCGGACUAAAACUGCAGAGGUGAUGUUGGUGUGCGGGAUCUUCGCCCUUCUGAGAGGCAAACAGCAGCGACACACGGUUACGAAACAAUUUUCACCCA